CCCCGGAUAGCUUAGCGAUAGAGCGUCUGCUUGAUAAGCGGAAGGUCGUUGGUUUGAAUCCAGCUCUGGGGACCA
rnacentral:tRNA from 1 species